GUAGGUGUUUCUUCCGGAGGGCUGGAAAUUUCUCAAAAAAUGAAUGAAAUAUCAACACAGUUCGGAGGACAUGGAUUUUACUUACAGGUUUUGACGAAGCCCACAAAUGAGCCCAAUGGGAGGCAGCCCGGUUUGGAAACCCCAAAGUCCAAAGAUACCCUCAAAUUAGGGGCUAUAUUCUUAUUGAGAUUUGAGACUUUUGCUGGCCACGUGACCUAUCAUGGCAGACAUGUGACAUCUCCAUCGGUUUCGUAUUAAAUUUGCUUAGCUGAAUUGAAUCUGCAAAAAAGGCAGUGAAAGGGCCAAGGGGUGGCGCCUAAUAAUGCCCACUUGUAGCCGACUACACCUAACUUGCGCAGCACAACUCCGGAGAAAAAGGCUUGUGAGUUGCGACUCCUCUUGCCUCUUUUUAGAUUUACAUAUCUACAAAAUUAAUUAUUACUAAAAAAAUAUGCUAUUCAAUUUUUCUUAAAUUUUAUUUGAAUUCUUUCAUGGUUUUAACUUAAAAAAAUAUAUGUAACAUUCUAAACUGGUGCAAUAUGUUAAGGAUCCCACGCUGAUAAAGGAAGAGACCUUACAUCACUUUAUAAUAGACAUGAACUACUCUUUCAAUUGAUUUUGAGAUUGACUCC